AGGUCAAAGGUCAAGGUCAAGUUCUAAAUUUUGAAUUUUGCUUGUUAUCGUUAUGCCACAGAAACUGUGACAGUAAAUGAUAUGAUGUGUUUGCCAAAUAACUGUUUACAAUAAGGCGCAACUUCAACCUAUUUCAGUCAAAGUGUUUUGGUUAACCCUUAUAGGAGUUUUCUCCCCUUAUGUAUUUCAAAUCAGUAUUUCUCCACAACCAUACAAGUGAUUGACCUCCGGUCUUCCGUUUUGAGUUCACUGACCUAUGACCUUGAAAUUGAGAUCAAAGUCGAGGGUCAAGGUCAUUUUAUAAAUUUUGAAUUUUGCUUGUUAUCGUUAUUCAAAAGAAACUGUUACAGUAAAUAAUAUGAUUUGUUUGCCAAAUAACUGUUUACAAAAAGGCACAACUUCAAACUAUUUCAGUCGAAGUGUUUGGGUUAACCCUUGUAGGAGUUUUCUCCCCUUAUGUAUUUGAAAUCAGUAUUCCUCCACAACCGUACAAAUGAUUGACCUGGGGUCUUUUGAUUUGAGAUCACUGACUUAUGACCUUGAAAUUGAGGUCAAGGUCAAAGGUCAAUUUGACGUUCUAGAUUUUG
rnacentral:lncRNA from 1 species